rnacentral:rRNA from 1 species
UAAGGAAUAUUGGUCAAUGGACGCAAGUCUGAACCAGCCAUGCCGCGUGAAGGAUGAAGGUCCUCUGGAUUGUAAACUUCUUUUAUCUGGGACGAAAACGGGAUUUUUAUCUCAAUUGACGGUACCAGAGGAAUAAGCACCGGCUAACUCCGUGCCAGCAGCCGCGGUAAUACGGAGGGUGCGAGCGUUAUCCGGAUUUACUGGGUUUAAAGGGUGCGUAGGUGGGCUUAUAAGUCAGUGGUGAAAUCUCCGAGCUUAACUUGGAAACUGCCGUUGUUACUAUAGGUCUUGAAUUAUCUGGAGGUAAGCGGAAUAUGUCAUGUAGCGGUGAAAUGCUUAGAUAUGACAUAGGACACCAAUUGCGAAGGCAGUUUACUACAUAUAAAUUGACGCUGAGGCACGA